rnacentral:ncRNA from 1 species
UAUAAGUAUACAAAGAAACUAUUAUGGAAAUCUAGCUAUGUAUUAAAGGGUAUGAUUUAUUUACUCAAAUUAAGAAUUUUACCUCUUGCUUUUGACAUUGCUUUCCCGGUAUCUCCGGGGACAGUAAUUAAAAAGUUUAGAAGUUCAAAACUUAUUUUAAAUAUAAACCCUAAGAGAAGUUUUUUAGUAAACGAAGUGAAUUGAAACAUCUUAGUAACUUCAGGAAAAGAAAUCAAAAGAGAUUCUAUGAUUAGCGUGAGCGAAAAUAGAGCAGCCUAUUUAUUAAUAAGUAAAAUGGUUUACAAACUGUUUGAAUUUAAUGGGGAACCUUCCUCAAAGGCUAAAUAUAAUACAUAAGCGAUAGUGAAUAGUAUCAUGAGAGAACGAUUAGAAUUAGUAGUUUUAUAAGCAGUUCGAGCAAAAUAAAUAAGUGAGAACGUACCUUUUGCAUAAUGGGUCACCAAGUUAACAUUAGAUGCGAGUGAAAGCGUAGGUAAACCAAUCGUUAAAAGAACGAAGAGUGUCUAAAGUUAGACCCGAAGCCUGGUGAUUUUACCAUAAUCAGGAUUAUAAAAGUCCGAACGGGUU